GUUGAACGCUGGCGGCGUGCCUAAUACAUGCAAGUCGAACGCUUCACUUCGGUGAACAGUUGCGUACGGGGGCGUAAGACAUAAGUAACCUGACAUCUACAGGUGGAUAACUGAUGGAAACUUCAGCUAAGACCGCAUAUGCGUAGAGAUCGCAUGGGCUCUAUAUGAAAAGUGCUACGGGACUGGUAGAUGAUGUACUUAUGGCGCAUUAGCUUGUUGGUACGGUAACGGCCUACCAAGGCGACGAUGCGUAUCCGCACUGAGAGGGUGACCGCCCACACUGGAACUGAGACACGGACCAGACUCCUACGGGAGGCAGCAGUAGGGAAUUUUCGGCAAUGGGGGAAAGCCUGACCGAGCAACGCCGCGUGAAGGAAGAAGGAAUUCGUAAUGUAAAACACUGUAAUCGAGGAAGAAGGGUGGAUAGAGGGAAUGCUGUCCAAGUGACGGUACUAUAUGAGAAAGCCACGGCUAACUUCGUG
rnacentral:rRNA from 1 species